CUAUUUUUACGAGCUUUCGGCUGUAUGGCCUUCAACGGGUAAGUUAGAAUGAUAUGAAUUACAACAGUUUCAAGUACAAAAACAUAAAGUGACAAGUAGUGACAGUUUCGCCUACAUACAUAUGAUUAAUAACCGUAGAUAGCAUAUUUCAUUAUUCAUGCAAAGUUUCUUAAGUAAAAAGCAUAGAUAUCUUAUUAUAUAUACACUAGAUAGCGCAUCUCUUUUAGUAAAAUUGAAGCCAAGAAUAUUCCAGCGGUUACACCCAUUUGAAUAGAUGGCGGCCAUGUUGGAGUUUCCCACUCGCUAAUAAACGCUUAAAAAACAACAAUAACUUUCAUCAUUUGAAUAGUUUGAAAAUGUAUUUCGAAUAGGUUUAACUUAAUGUUUAAGUUCCCUGUUUAAGAAAUAGAAAACAUACAAGUCUUCUCAUUUCAUGGGAAUAUCCUGAGUCUGCAAUCACGGCUUCAAUUUUUGAAUUGCAGAAUAAUUAGAUGCACUAUCUAGUGUAUGUAAGAUAUCUAUGGUAAUAAGUGGUAUUGUGCUGGAGUUAUUAUCAGCAUUUUGCUUGUGUUUGCAGUGUGCCAGGAUUCAGUGUUGAUCUGUGCCUUUGUCAAUUACUUUGCCUUCUGUAAAGUUGCCUAACUCUGUCAAGCCUCAUCCAAUGAUUAUUUUUCAAGCAUAACUCGCGUUAUUUGAGGCAGUCUUGCAUUGUUCAACAGUUCUUGUAUGUUCUUUUUUCCUUGCGUUGAAAGCUCAGCCCGCUUCACCAAUGGCAAUUUGGUAGCUCCACAAGCAAUCUGCGCAAUUGAUUCUAGUAGUGAUAAACCACAUGUAAAAAUAAAUACUUUUGACCGGAGAGCGUUCAGAAAAAAGUCCUAAUCUUGGUUUCGCCUCAAAAUAUGGGGUUUAAAAUGACGAAUUUUCUGUAAGGCUAAAGUGAACAGACGUAGUUGCGCCCUAGAUAUCUUAUAUCCACUAGAUAGUGCAUCUAAUUAUUCUGCAAUGCAAAAAUUAAAGCCGUGAUUGCAGACUCAGGAUAUUCCCAUGAAAUGAGAAGACUCGUAUGUUUUCUAUUUUUUAAACAGGGAACUUAAACAUUAAGUUAAACCUAUUCCAAAUACAUUUUCAAACUAUUUAAAUGAUGAAAGUUAUUGUUGUUUUUUAAGCGUUUAUUAGCGAGUGGGAACUUCCAACAUGGCCGCCAUCUAUUCAAAUGGGAGUAACCGCUGGAAUAUUCUUGGCUUCAAUUUUGCUAAAAGAGAUGUGCUAUCUAGUGUAUAUAAGAUAUCUAUGAGUUGCGCCCUAUAGUUAAAGUAUGUUUUUGUAGUUAAGAAUAAAUUCUCAAGUGCUAGGUGACGCGUGCUCGUAAGAUAACGGAAUAUAUUGAAGAUAUAUACAUGAUAUUUCCUAAAAUCCAUCUUGUAUAAUUAUUUGAUAAGUGAAGUUGAUAAAAUAUCAUUAAAACUAUUUUAAUCUCAAAAUGGAAAAAAAACGUCAAUUAUUGGAAAAACAUUACCUGAUGUUCAGUGCAAUCGUAUUUCGAUCAGAUAAAUGAACUUUUUUCAUGUGUACGAUAACAUAUUAAUACUUAAACUUUCAAAACCUAUAGUUUGGACGUUGGAUUUGGGGGAGGAGGUCGGCGCCCCCCCCCCCCCUCCGUGUUUAUCGAGAGAGGUAAGGGCGUUAACGACUUUGAUUUAGAUUAAAACCUGUUAGUUAGUCAAAUGUACCUUAACCCAUGUAAUCAGAAGUAAUCUGGUUUGCCCACCUUUACCCUGUGUGGAAACAUGGCUAGGAAACAAUGUUUCCUGGUUAGCUCAUUUUUAGGAAACAUGACUAGAAAACAAUGUUUCCUGGUUUGUCCACCUUCAGGAAACAUGGCUAGGAAACAAUGUUUCCUUAUAGCUCAUCUUCAGGAAACAUGGCUAGGAAACAAUGUUUCCUGGUUAGCUCAUCUUCAGGAAACAUGGCUAUAGGAAACAAUGUUUCCUGGUUUGUCCACCUUCGGGAAACAUGGCUAGGAAACAAUGUUUCCUGGUUUGCCCACUUUUGUGCCGAAACAUGGCUAAGAAACAAUGUUUCCUGGUUAGCGCAUCUUCGGGAAACAUGGCAAGGAAACAAUGUUUCCUGGUUUGUCCACCUUCGGGAAACAUAGCUAGGAAACAAUGUUUUGUGGUUUUCUCUGCCCCCACAAAGUGUUUCGAGGCGAGAGUGUAUAAAUAUAUAUCGCUGAUGAUGUUGAUUAAACAGACAGCAGGAGUUGUCAAAUAUUUUGUUUAUCUUUUUUUAACGUAAAUUAAUCUCCCAAAUACGACGUGGGAUCACUUAUAUUUUAGAUGCACCUGCUCGUCGACAUUUAAAUGUAUCUUGGCUCUCUUUCAUUUCGCUGUUAAUGCAUCGCUUCUGGCUCUGCUGGACGAAACACAGCGAAAUAAAAACUACUGAUUUGCUUCUACAAAGAUUACGUGUUGUCGUCAAGGUUAGUGGUUUAAUAUCAUCAAACACUUUAUCAAUGUUGAGUAUACAUUGUAUUCAUUUACGCUCAUCAACAAUAUAUGUGUACUGGAGCUUUGUUUUACGAAAUGUAGGCAGUUCUUGUAACCUCCCUGUUCGAACUAUGCGUUCUGUUGCAUAAGAAAAGAGUUUAAGCUUUUCCCACCUAUAUCGCAUGCAAAAAUGAGUAGCCAAUCGGAAUACCCCAAUGCUUUAACUUUAUUCCACUAAAACUUUAGUGUUUCAAAUUUUCUUUUAAUUGAAAAUAUUUUUGUUCUUUAUUUUUACAUGCAUCGAUUUAAAAAAGUAUUAGGACUAAAAUGAAUUUUCCUGGCCAUUUUUGCGAUGAUAAUUCCUUUCUUCGUGUGCACGUUUUAAUUCUCGUAAUCCUAAACGGUUAAAUUAAACAGUAUUGAAUUAAAUAGGUUUAAUGUUGGUUUAAACUGACAUCUCAUCAGCACUGACAGAUGAUGUACUAUAGAAUAAUUACGCUUUAAGAUAAGAAAAACAAUAUAAAAUUAGUUUUACGUUUCCAAAGGAAAAGAUCACGAACAUAUAUAUUGGCAUUAUUUUUUAAUGACACGUGCUUUGCCGCGUGAAUUUUUAAUUAAAUUUGGGAUUCGGUAGUUGUUUCCCAUCAUUGUACAGUAAAAUUAACAUUUAUAAUGGUAGCCCAACUAAUUUUGUCUGUUCUGUUCUGUUCCGUUCUGUUCUGUUCCGUCCUGUUCUGUUCUGUUCUGUUCUGUUCAGUGCCAUGGGCCAUGCCUUGUUAUUGUCAGGACUAUGAUCCUGUAAUGUAACAAUUUAAGAACUUCUCGUUCUAAAUAUUUUUUUCAAAUUUUACAAGACUACAGAUAUUGUUUCCAGUUCUUGUAACAAGUUUGAAACAAGUUGUUAGUCUUUCGUAACAAGUUUUAUACUGGUUUCAAACUUGUUAAACAGGAUAUUAGCAAUUUGAUUCACGCUUGCGCAAACCUUUAAUAUAUGCGUGCGUCAUCAAGACAAAAAUGCUCCAAGUUUUGCACAGCAGUUAUUUUUAUAAACCGAAAGUUUACUUAGACAUUAAAGAAGAAUAUUCCGACAGUUUACUAUUAAUAGUAUAGUUCCAGCCCAGAUACCCCGUGGAUAGAAUAAUUUAAAAAGAUAAAUUCAGUUUGUUCAUGAAAGGUUUGAUUUGGCGACCGCAGGAGUUCAAUUAACACGUGUUCCUUUGAUGAUGUCUGCCUAAGCUGUUUAUUCUGGGCUCUACUUUAUUAAUAUAACUGUGAUUAAGGGUGUUAAACGUGACUCGUAAGUUCUAUGAUAUCAACGAGUCAUCAUUUGUCAUCAGAAUGUAUAAAACGAUAGCUAUAUAAGGUCAGGAUGGCAAGGAUUCGUCUUAACUCUUCUUAGUGUCAACCUGUCUCCUACCUCAAAUUUUCGCAAUCAAAUGAAGACAGAAAUGAGAAUGCAAAGAUAGUUUCUCUGCUUCAGUAAGUUGAAAUAAAACAUUGUAGUUUAGCAAGUGAACGAAAGUUUACUCCGCUUCAAGAUGUUUUCGCACCUUCUUUACCGUGGUUUGUCAACUAUAGAAGCUUGAGAAACAUUUGAAAAAGUGAAACUGUUUUACCAAACUGUUUUGUUUUCAUCAGUAUUGGGCGCUUUCCAUUAACACGGCCAGACCGGUCAGAACGGUCAAAAUGUUGAAUGGAACACAAAACAUUUGGGCUUCGGACCUAUCUGACAGGAAAAUUUAGAUAACAUUAGAAUGAGGUCCAUUUUCACUAGAUAUUUGAGAAACAUAGACCAGAUCUUUCCAUUGAUACAGAGACAAGAAUUCGGGUCUGACCGGUCAUGCAGGACAUUAAAUGGAAAGCGCCCAUAGCCUGAGAUUUAUAAAAUAACUACAACAUAGACUACAACAACCAACAAACAAGUGUAAUCUUACUAAUGUUAUAUUAAAUUGUUGAUUUGAUCUAUUCUAUAGCUUUAGAUUUAAAAUAAAUAAAGCCCGAGAAGGAGAGUUGUCAGUUCUUAAUGCUUUCCCAACUCUAUCACCAAACCUUAUUUUGAACCUUUAAUAUUUUGUUAAUCUAGAUCUUGAAAUGUCUUCCGUAACAAUGCAUGACUACCAACUCUCAUUAACUCUUAUCCACGUUUGACCGGGGCUUAUACAAACAACCUACUUAUAUCUUUUAUUUUUCAUCCAUAUUUUUAGCCGAACCAUCUGAGAUGGACAACUGUACAUCAUCAGGAGACGAAAUAACUCCAGGUUUCUAUCGAACCGUCGUAAUAGUCUCGUUAUGUGUUAUAAUCGUGGGUAUCACAGCGAAUUGUUUCAUCAUCAUUGCAUUCUGUAAAGUGAAACUACUCCGGACAGUGACGAAUUAUUUCAUAUUCCAGUUAAGUGUUGCCGAUAUCUUCCUCUUGCUUUCUCUUACAAUUUGGAUGAGUUUCGCGGCGACAAAAGUUUCUAUGAGUGAGCACCAGAGAGAGUUGACAAGAAGCGUUCUAGUUUCAAUCGAAGUCUUCUCAUCGUCUGCGUCACUUACAAGUCUUGCAUGCGUCAGUAUCGAUCGCUGUCUUGCAGUAACUGUACCACUGCGGUACCAAUCAAUCACGACCCAUUCACGUGCGCUUGUGGUGGUGCUUAUAGUGUGGUCCUAUUCCAUGAUUACAUUUUUUACGUCAUAUUCGCGCGUGGUAAUUAACCACGAUGUAAAAGAGAUGUACAGCAGAAUCUAUAUCACGUGCCUAUUCUCUCUCACAUUUGCGUUGCCAAUUCUAAUCACGAGUUGGUCAUAUUAUCGCAUAUUUUGCGCAGUUUGGCGGCAAGUGCAUCACGUCCCGAAGCAGUCGACCCCAAACCGUCGGUUCCGUAUGGUCAUGAAGGAAUUCCGAAUCGCAAUUAACAUUCUGGUCGCCAUCUUGCCCACCUACCUACUCUGGGGGAGUUUCUGGAUCGCCACUCUGAGAGAAGCCUUCUUGGAAAAUCACCCAAACUAUCCUGCUGUUGUGGAUUGGCUGUUAGGAAAUACCCCUCACUUUGCAGCCACUGUGAACCCCCUCAUAUACAUUGCAAUGACAAGGGAUUUUCGUCUUCUCUUCCUGCGGUUAUUGUCUUGUAAAAAACAGCGAGAAGAGUUCAAUGUAGAAGUGGAUUCAAGCAGGCAGCGUUCCAUAUCGAUGCGUAGUUGUUCAACGACUCAAAGCAUUCCGUUAGUUGAUGUUGUGUGCUCGGAGGACUUUGCUAAAAGCUUGACAUUGUCUGAAGAUAGUAAGUCUGGGAAUGGAAAUAUUUCUACCGAGUCCAGUUUUGUCACUUCCUCCACUCCGGACGAAAAUAAUGAAUUUGUCUCGAUUUAAAAUGGUAGCUUAUCACAGUACCAGUUUCCCAGCUUUGCACCCUAAUGUGGUGCCCAGUAUAGGCCAAUAUAUAAUACAUAUUACCUGAAGACGUUUGAGACACUUCUUUGUGGAAACACCACAUAAAUUUAUUCUUUGCAGAACUUUCGAUCCCCUAGUGUAGAUCUUGUAUAUUAUUAACACUAAUAAUAAAUAAUUAACAAUAAUAAUAAAUAAUAAAUUAAUGUUGUGUCUCAAAAAAACCUGGUUUCAAACUUGGAUAUCAUUAUUCACCAUGCAAAACCAGAAGGGUCUUUAUAUUAGGUUUAUAAUAUGAAUCCAGCCUUAUUCGUUGGUUUGUUUUUGUUCAUCCAGAUGAAUUAUUUACAAAAAGUUUUAUAUGCCAGGCGUGUACUUUAGUUUAAUUGGAAAUGAACAAGCAAACACAGAAUGUCAAAGCUUGCAAAAACAACUACACAGAUGCAUUUCUGCAGCUGACAUAUAAGAUGGACAUUUGCAAUAAACCGUCAAGUUUUUGAAAAUAGUUCCACAGAGGAAAUCAAGACAUUGGGAAAAAUAAAACUUUUUGUAAAUAAUUUCUCUGGAUGAACACUUGGAAAGAUUCCUUUGCUCAGAAUGUGGAAAUUUUUGCACAGGUGGUUGUGACCAAGGCUGGCGAGAGCCAACCACAGGCCCCAGGACAAAAUGACAAAUUUGUGAACACGGGCCCCCUGUCCCUCUCCGGCCCGCUGGCUCAUGGCCACGCCAAAGUCUAUUUUUAAUCGCAACGAACGAGACAAUUACCAGCCAAUUACUUGCAAGAAAUCGCCGCAUGACUGAUAAAAAUGCAAUGUUCAGCUAACUGUUUUUGCUGAGAAAACGAUUAUUUCACAUUUGGUCACGUUUUACGAUUGAUCACGAUGAUCAGCGAAUAGUGUGCAAGUAGGCGUAUUUCAUUUAGGACAAAUAUAAAGCAAUGAUAAACGAUACGAACAUUUUACCGAGAUUUCCGGGCCCCUCUAAGCACUCCGGGCCCCAGGUAUUUUGCCCCCUCUGCCCCCCCUCUCGCCGGCCUUGGUUGUGACAAAAAACUGGAGUUGCCCCAAAUCGUGCUUGAAUUGGCUUCAUUUUUUGACAGGGUUAUCAGAUCAGUUCAGCCAUGAAAAGAAAUGAUUGCACAGAUUUGAAAAUGAUCUCAUUAAAGACUGGACAGAUACUGUCAAAAAAUGAAGCCAAAAAAUGAAGCCUAAAUUAAAGCAGGACAGCUUAUAUGGACAUUCUAGGUAUUACCAGGACGUAAAAGGACAUAAAGUAAAGGUAACCAUUAAUACUUUCCAUAUUGUAGUAUAUUUAGAUUAAUGUUUGAGGCAUCAAGAUGAGAAGUAGAAUGCUAAUUGAUACAAAUAUUAUAUAAUAUAUGUGUUGUACUAAUUUUAACAUGAUCUGGUGUUGCUCUGGUGCCAAGCUGUGUUGGUCAUGUGCGCAUGUUGGUCAUGUGCGCGUUGGUCAACAUUACAUACUGUAUUUGAAUUGUAAUUUGCUGUUCACAGUUCGCUUAAUAUAAUCAUGUUAUUACUCAAAUUACUGUAUCUCAUUUGUUGUCUAAUAUUUUUUGCUUAAUAAUGAAAAAUAGAACCCCUGCUGCCCCCACACACAAACACACCCAGUAAAUAAUAAUACAUGUAAUAAUACACCCAGUAAAGUUAAACCAUCC